rnacentral:miRNA from 11 species
AGAGCUAAUUGGAGAGUUCUUG